CCCUUGGUGGUCCAGUGGCUAAGACUCUGCACUCCCAGUGCAGGGGACCUGGGUUCAAUCCUGGGUCAGGGAA
rnacentral:tRNA from 1 species